rnacentral:rRNA from 1 species
CUUGCUCUUAUGAAGUUAGCGGCGGACGGGUGAGUAACACGUGGGUAACCUGCCCAUAAGACUGGGAUAACUCCGGGAAACCGGGGCUAAUACCGGAUAACAUUUUGAACCGCAUGGUUCGAAAUUGAAAGGCGGCUUCGGCUGUCACUUAUGGAUGGACCCGCGUCGCAUUAGCUAGUUGGUGAGGUAACGGCUCACCAAGGCAACGAUGCGUAGCCGACCUGAGAGGGUGAUCGGCCACACUGGGACUGAGACACGGCCCAGACUCCUACGGGAGGCAGCAGUAGGGAAUCUUCCGCAAUGGACGAAAGUCUGACGGAGCAACGCCGCGUGAGUGAUGAAGGCUUUCGGGUCGUAAAACUCUGUUGUUAGGGAAGAACAAGUGCUAGUUGAAUAAGCUGGCACCUUGACGGUACCUAACCAGAAAGCCACGGCUAACUACGUGCCAGCAGCCGCGGUAAUACGUAGGUGGCAAGCGUUAUCCGGAAUUAUUGGGCGUAAAGCGCGCGCAGGUGGUUUCUUAAGUCUGAUGUGAAAGCCCACGGCUCAACCGUGGAGGGUCAUUGGAAACUGGGAGACUUGAGUGCAGAAGAGGAAAGUGGAAUUCCAUGUGUAGCGGUGAAAUGCGUAGAGAUAUGGAGGAACACCAGUGGCGAAGGCGACUUUCUGGUCUGUAACUGACACUGAGG